rnacentral:rRNA from 1 species
GACGAACGCUGGCGGCGUGCUUAACACAUGCAAGUCGAACAGAAAGGCCCUGCUUGCAGGGUACUCGAGUGGCGAACGGGUGAGUCACACGUGGGUGAUCUGCCCUGCACUUCGGGAUAAGCCUGGGAAACUGGGUCUAAUACCGGAUAGGAGCCAUUUUUAGUGUGAUGGUUGGAAAGUUUUUUCGGUGUAGGAUGAGCUCGCGGCCUAUCAGCUUGUUGGUGGGGUAAUGGCCUACCAAGGCGGCGACGGGUAGCCGGCCUGAGAGGGUGGACGGCCACAUUGGGACUGAGAUACGGCCCAGACUCCUACGGGAGGCAGCAGUGGGGAAUAUUGCACAAUGGGCGCAAGCCUGAUGCAGCGACGCCGCGUGGGGGAUGACGGCCUUCGGGUUGUAAACUCCUUUCGCUAGGGACGAAGCUUUUUGUGACGGUACCUAGAUAAGAAGCACCGGCUAACUACGUG